rnacentral:lncRNA from 1 species
CUGCUAAGCCGAAGUGCGCUCCGGGAUUUCUUGACUUUAUUUCGUCAAUGUUGAGAAAAACUUUUUAUAUCUCAAAAUAUCGUUAGAAAAGGAAGUCCCAGCGCUCGGAGGCUUAGCUGACAAAGAAGGGGGUUGCGUGGCUGCGAGUCUCAGAACUACUGUUUGGGAGCCCCAAAACCACUGCUGGCACCCGCGCCGCACGGGCGCCCAAUUCCUCCCCUGGUAGGUAACGCGGAAGAGCCGGGAGGGUGGCGGCCUCAGGGCGCAGGAUCGGGCAAACCUGUCGCUCAGAAGCUCGGCUACCGAAAAGCAGAAUGGCCACGCGUUGUAGACGGAAGCCUGCAGUCUCAGCAUCCAGGCUGGAGGCAGUAAAGAUUGCUGUAAGUUCAAGGCCAGUGAGCUCCAGGCCAGGCUGGACGACAGAAUGAGCGCCAGACCAACAUGGGUUAAGCGAUUUGAAGACCAGCCUGAGCUACUGAAUAAGUUUGAGGGUAGCCUGGGUUACAGAGUGCAUUCGAGGCCAGCCAGGGCCACAGAGUGAGUUGAAGACCAGCCUUGGCUACAUAGCAAGUUCAAGGACAGCCUAUGCUACAUACUAAGACCCUGUCUCAAACAUCCGUAAAAACAAUAUAGGA